AUGGAGUCGGGAGCCAGAUCAGAAGCAAAGCCAGACGAGGAAGGGCCGGCCCCGGCGGGAAGCAGCAGCGGCAGCAAGGUGUACCACGAGAGGCAAAGGAUGCAGUUCUGCCUCCUCCACGCCCUCAACAACCUUAUGCAGGAAAAAGAAUCGUUCACCCGAGCUGAGCUGGAUGGGAUUGCUGAAAAUCUUGUUCUUACUGAUCCAAACAAGGAGAGAUGGACUCCUCUAUCGUUGAUUUGGAAGCCCCACCACAAUGCAUUAACAGGGAACUAUGAUGUAAAUGUUCUUAUCGCGGCGGUAGAAUCUAGAAAGAAGAAGGUAGUUUGGCAUGAUCAUCGGAAGGGGGCAUCUUCGAUAGAUCUGGAUGCCGAAGCGCUGGUAGGUCUGAUGAUCAAUGUACCGGUCAGGAGGUUGAGGGGCCUGUGGACCGGGAGGCAUUGGGUGGCAAUUCGAAGCAUUGAUGGCAUCUGGUUUAAUCUGGACAGCGAUCUUCCGUCGGCCAAGCAGUUUCAGUGCAAAGAAAAACUAAUUGCGUUCCUGGACAGCGUUCUCAGUCAAGGCGGGGAGCUCAUGAUCGUGCUCCAAGACGAAUGA
rnacentral:rRNA from 1 species